UCUCCGUUGGUGAACCUGCGGAGGGAUCAUUACUGAGUGAGGGCUUCGGUCCGACCUUCAACCCUUUGUGAACCAAACUUGUUGCUUCGGGGGCGACCCUGCCGCUUCGGCGGUGCGGCGCCCCCGGUGGCCAUUAAACACUGCAUCAUUGCGUCGGAGUUAAAGUAAAUUAAACAAAACUUUCAACAACGGAUCUCUUGGUCCCAGCAUCGAUUAAAAACGCAGC
rnacentral:misc_RNA from 1 species